rnacentral:lncRNA from 1 species
UUUUUUUUUUUUUGUGUAAUACAAGAGUUGACCAGUCCACUCCUAUCAUAAUGAAUUUAUCCUCCCGCCCCCACCCCCACCCACUUCUAUUCUGUAAUUUGAAGCGCAAUUUAUCAGCAAAAUACACAGCAAACCUUAUCAUCAUCUUCCCAACAGAGACAGACGCUACUCCUGCUACUAGCUCACUGUCAAAUUCCGAUGGCUACUAAUGUCAUCCAGCUCCUCCGUCAUGCAUACUAUUUCCAUUACCAAAGCUCUUCCAACUCAAAAUCCUUAGCAGCCUCUCAUUAUUCCACACCACACCCGAAACCAUACUCAGUCAAAUGCUCCAACGCUCCAAUGCUCAUGAACCUGAAGACGAGUUCUUCCCCGCUGCCCCAGCCUCCGAAGCCACCGUCCCCCCAGAAAAAUUCCCGAUCGAGAAAAGAAGAAAAUCGGAAAUAAUCCGGGACAGAAGGUCAAGAAGUGGCCUUGUUAAACCCGAGCCACCGAAUCUUGAGAUAGGGUGGAAAAGGACUAAGCCUAUCAAGCUGGAAAAGCCAGUAGGGUACGUGAUCAUGGAUUUCUUGGAGAAGUUGGAGCAGCUAAUGGGGAAGGAAUUUGGCUCGACUACGCUGUUAGCGAAAGCAGGAGAGAUUGUGGCAGAGAGAGCUAGAGAAGAAGCAGAAGUUUUGAAGGACGAAGGCAAAGUUGAUGACAGGAUGGUUACUGAACUUUUUAGAGUACUGAAGCUGAUGGAGAUGGAUUUGGCUAUGGUUAGAGCUGCAGUGAAAGAGGAGACGUUGAUUGAGAGACUCGAACAAGCUAAAGCAAGGUGCAGACAAGCUAUUCUUGUUGCUAAUUCAUUUUAAAGCUGUUCUUGUUCCAGAGAACCUUCUAAUGUUUAUGCAAUACAGGGAACUGAUCAUCUAGAAUUGAACGUGUCAUGUAGUUUUGUGUUUGUCCUGAUAGAGAACAUACGGUAAAGUAAAGGGGCUCUUUUUGUUUUGGAUUUCUGUCUGUUGUUUACCAAAUGAGGGACGGAUAAUGCGAGCAAAGUCGGUUGGAGAACUCUUCUCAUCUUAUUUAAUUAUUUUUCAUCCUGUGUAAGUUGUCCUUCCAAUUCCAUGUUGAUUGGAAAUGUUGAGGUGAGUCAUCUAAUCUCCUAUAUUACCAAUAGAAUAUCAGAGCGAGCAAAUUGAACAAAUGAUAGGUCAAGAUCAUGCUGUUCAUUGGGAAUUGAAAACGUUCAAAAUUAUGCCACAAAUAGAUGUGGCAAGUGGAGCUCCAGUUGAGCUUGCCACAAAUACGAUAUCACAUUUAGGGUGAGGAUUAGCAUAGAACUUCAAAAUGAAGGUUGAACUCCUUAGAAGCUAGUUUUCCAACAUGGAUGGUGUUUUCUUUAUCAAGCUUCAGUGACCAGAUAUUUCCCAUGGCAAUUGGACUUGAAUACUUUGUUUGUCUAACCACACCUCUGUCGUUAUUACUACAGUAAUAAAAAUUUAUCAAGCUGAAGGGAUGAUGAGGGAGUUAGAACGAGGAACGAAAGAAAGUCCGACAAUAAACUAAUAGGGCAGGCUUCUUUAGGUCCCAAUUAAUUUUUCCGACAGGAACUCGGAAAGGAAAGAAGGGGAUUUGCCGGUUCUCCAGAUAUCAGUGGCUGAUGCCUCGACCUGUAAAAAUCUCUCGGAACUAUAAUGAGCAACAGAAAGAUAACAGUAUAAUUUAACCAGACAUAGAUGGAAAUGGAAAUAAUGAAACGAGAUAAUAUUUCAACAACAGGAGAACAUUAUUAUUAUGCCUCUGAACUUCCUAAAUUCGGAUUGAAGAACUAAGGAAGAAUAUUACACCUUUACAUUUUUCUUCUUUUUCUUUUUCUUUUUCUUUCCUUUUGAAGGAACGGAUCCAGUAAAUGUUGCCUGACAUUCCUGGAUGACCCGGCUAACAUGAGGAUCAUCUCUUGGUAUUUUAUUCAAAAUACUUUGUGCAGAUUUAUGAUCGCCCAAUGCCAAAAGGGCCUGAUACAUCCUUACAAAACUUAGAACGUUGUAUGGAAGACCAGCUGCCUUGUACUCUUUCCAAAUAAGAAAACAAGAUUCCAAAUCCUUGGCACUAACACAAGCUGUAAGCAGAAAAUCAAGACUUUUCCGUGAGGGGCGUAGAUCAAGGUCUUUGACAGCUUGAAGCAUGGCCAAGCCAAAAUGCAUAUCUGUUGGCUCUUUCUCAGCAAUUUGGCAAAACACCUCAUCAAAGAUAUUUUCUGUUGCUGCAUCAUCAGAAAUGACACUCUGCUUUAGUUGCCUAAGCAAAUCAACUGCAGACGUUAGAUGCUCAUGCCGAAUACAGUAUAAAACAACCCUAAAGCACCCAUCAAACCAGUAAUCAGGGUUAUCCAAUUCCUUGAGUAACUGGAGCAAUCUGUCCAAUUGACCUUCCGAUUGGAGAUGUUCGAUCAAACUAAUAACUGCCUUGGGCUCCAAACGACCUUCUGCUUGCUUGAUUUCUUCAUACAGAUUGAGAGCAUCAGACAUCUGUCCAUGUGAUGCAAGAGCCGAAACAAGCACACUUUUAACUUCAUUCAAGCUCUUGGCUGGUAUUCGUUUAUCCAACAUUACCUGUUUAGCCUUUUCAAAUUGUCCACAUGAUACAUAUGCAUUGAUGAGGGACAUAAAAACAAUCUUCGUGAUGAGAACUCCAGACUGCUUCAUUUCUUCAACAAUCUUAUCAAUAUCCUCUUCAGAGUCACAGUUGACCAAAAGGUAACUGUAUGUCUGGGAAUCUGGCUUCACAUCUGCAUCUUUCAUUUGUUUGAGAACCAUCAAUGCACCAUUAAUGUUUUUAUCACGGAAGUAUCCAGCCAUUAUGGCAUUGUAUAUGUUUGAUGUAGGCAUCAAAUUCAAUUUAUCCAGAUCCACUAUCAUGCCAUACGCACCUUCAAAAUCUUUCAUUUUCACACUGAGAUUUAUCAUCCUCCUGAAUGUUUCAGUACUUGGUUUCAAGUCAUGGCAAGAUAUCAUGGAAUAGAGGCGACGAACCAAAUUAUACUCCCUGCUUUCCUCGCAGGCAUCCAACAGGGAAUGAAAUGUAUCCAAUGACAAGGUAAAUCCUACUUUUAACAUCUCAUCUACAAUGUUAAGCGCAUCAUGUACCUUGAGCAAUUCACAGCAACACUGAAUAAACUUUUCAUAAUGCUCAGACAAAGGCAUCAGUUCUAAUUUUGCUAGCAAAGCUUUAAACUUGACAAGGACAUUUUCAACUGCUAAAUUUGGUAUGCUAGUCACAUAGUUGUAGAUGAAGUUUGAGAUCUUUUCUGCUCCAAUUUCAUCCAUUUUUAAUGCCAACAAGAACCUCUCUGCAAAGAGGUCCAGCGAGAGCUUCCCCAAAGAUCUGAAAAUAUUCACCAAAUGCUCCAUAGAUGAAACUUUUGUAAUGUCAAAAGCUUCCAAUAAGGGCAAAAGCUCCUUUUUCCGGUUACUUUCACAAAAUGCUAAAAGAUAGCUCUGUUGAAAGGAGGACUUAUCGUUACCAUCAUACAGUGCAAGAUUAUAACAAAGCUCCUGUAUCUUUUCUUCAUCAUUCACUCCAAUGUAAAGAAGCAUCUCAUAGUAAGUUAAUGUGGGGAGUGAAUUCUCGUCUCUGAUUAGUUCACAGAAGAAGUGAAACUCAGGAACCAAGCCAAAAUCAAUAAGAUACCUAAGGAAGGGACCAUAAGUAAUUUCCCUAUUGGGAAUCCCAAUUCCUUCAUCCAUUCAAAAAUUUUGUAAGCCUUGAAAAUCUGCUGUAGGGAAACUUCUUCAUCAUCAGUUUUCCUGGCUGUUUCUAUGCACAGUCGAAUUAAAGCAUUAAAUUCUUUCAAUCCAGUUCCUCGUCCCAAUUUACCAAGUAUCUGAAUGGUCGCAUCUGGCCCCAACUUCUCCCCACACAUUGUUGUUAGUCGGUCAAAACGAUUUUUCUGACUACUGCUAAAGAUCCACUUCUGCUUUCGCUCCCGGGAUAUUUCUUUCCUACGCAGAGAUAUGUUGUUUUCUGCUGAGCGUGAGAUCCACGGAUCAUGCAAAACAUUGCUGAAAGAUUCUUCACUAUCACUUGCUGAAUCAUAUGAGCCAUCCACGUGGUAAUCUCGCUCACCUGCAUUAACCGUCAAGAACAAGAAUUAAAUGGUUGAAUCCAACCAAUACUUUCCAUUCUCACAAUGCAAAAACAAAAGAAUUUUCCAUUUGUUCCAUUAUGAUGUCCUAAACAGGACAAACCUUUAACUGUCAGGCGCCUAUAAGCUGAAAGUGCAGACACACAACUUCAUAUCUUACUUAUGCAGAAGAUCAUCACAAGCAAGACUCCAUACUCUCUUGAAACUUCAAAUUUCUGGCUACAUCCAGUCAACAAACUUAAAAUACUGCAUCUUAGCAAGCCAUAAUACCCAACGCUUUCCCAUAAUAUAAUCAAAGUUUACUAGAUGUCAAUUAUAUUUUAAAAAAAAUGUUAAUUUCCUCUGUUCUACAGGUUGAACCUCUUUCUUUUUUCUUCUUUCUAAAACAAUUUCUGAAGGGGAAAACAGAAGCAGGGAAGGCUAAAUGGGGACAGUGAGAACUGAGAGUGAAGGAACAAAGACCAUUAACCACAAAUCAGAGACCUUAAAUGGCCAAGUAUUUCAUUCCGGACAUUUUAAUGUUAUACCACGUAAAUAAGCUGCUUUGGAAGCAUCUUGAUAUGUAAUUACCGCAAGAUAUAACAGUAGCAUUCUCUCCACAAACUGCAAAUAUAACAAACACUCUCUGAAUAUCUAUAAUUCCGAUCAACAACAUUAUUAUUUUUUUUAUUUAAAUAUCCAUCCUACAAGUAGUACAAAAAUGGCCCAAGAAUUUCAAAACAAGUACAGGUAAAAACAGAAAAAUGAUUUACUCAACCACGUAAUAUUGCAGAUAUCUCCUCCGACAGCAGCCUCGCCGACUCGUCUACUUGCAACAACAGCCAGCAAACACCAUUAGCAAAACAGAAAUAGUUUAAAGUAACAGUACUAGUCGCAGAACUGAAGCAGAAAAUGAAAAUGAUGAACAAAAUACCGUUAUCAGCAGCAGAGAGAAGCUUCAAGUUUCCGAUCCCACCGAUAUCCCCGAGAGGCUUGAGAAAAGAAGCAGUAUCAAUACUAGAAGAAGAAGAGAUGUCUGAUUUAGGUGCCUUGUAGUUGAGUAACUGCUUGCGGAUAGUCUCGGAGGUGGAGACAUUUAUGGAGGAAACGUAUUUUUUCAGAGCAACGUCCUCAGCCGAGGUGGCGGUGGUGGUUUUGAAUUUAGAGGCGGAACGGAAAAGGUUGCCGAGGUUUUUGAGCUUAGUGGCGGGCAUGAGAAGAUGUCCGGCGAAUGUUUGUUGAAAUGCAUAUAGUGUGGGCGUUCGCCGAAGCUUUUUCUUCCCCACCCUUUUUUUCGCAAGAUAUUUGUGGGCUAAUGGACCAGCGGUUGAUGUGUUGUAUUCCCUCCAUGUCCAUGUGCGUGAGAAGAGAGUGUUUGCCAAAAUUGGAUUGGUGACGAAAAGGUGAGUUGGGCAUAUCCUGAAUUAGUAGCACUUCACUAAUUGUAAGGCCUUGCACCUAACGUAGAAAGGUUUUUGGGGUUUUGGGCCUCCCCCGAUCGGACAAUUUAUGGGUUCUUGGGUUGUGGUGUGGGUUUCGCUUCAGUGCCUUCAGGGUCCAACUCAAUUUGAAGAAAUGUAUAGUUAGGUGAUUAUGAGAUUAAUUCGAGUCUUGAUUUUUAUUAUUUAAAUAAAAAUUAAACAUUCAAAAAAAAAAAAAAUAUGAAUGUUACUGUUACACAUUUUGUGAUUUUAAAAGUCACUAUUUUUCUAAUUCAUUAGUAUCCUAUCUCGUUAUCCCUAUAUUUUUAUUCUCAAACAGUUCGUUUUGCGAAUAUUUAAAAAUCUCAAACGAUACAAAAAAAUUACAGACUUGUUUAGUGGCGUCUUCUGCUGGCAUAUAUGUACUACCCUCUCCCCACCAAUCCUCACGCUAUUGGCAACUUAAUUACUCGUGUAAAAUGCAAAUUCCUAUUCUCUCUAAGACGGCUGGUGUAUGUAUCUUACGUGAUCUAAGUGCAAAUGAGAUUAUCAUAAGGAGCUAGCUAACAAGGAAGAAGAGAAAAACUCGGAUUUUGCUGGCAGCAUCCAUAUGAGGAGGAAGAGCGUGCAAGUUUAACACGUUUUCACAAACAGGUGAGGAAUAGGAUGAGAUUGAGCAAAAUUGUUUAGUUAACUGCAUUGGGAGACCAACAAAUAAUACAGGACGAAUGGGAAAUGACAGAUACGCGCGUUAUAAAAAUAUAUAACUUGAUAUGAAAGAAGGAUUCUGCGUUGAAUAGGCUAAAGCUCUUACUUAUUCUCUUUUUGGGAUUUUCGCGUGAAUGAUUCAAUUCAUAAACAUAAAACCAUGAAGUAACGUGCGGUAUCUAACCAAGUAGACGUUAAUUUCAUCUAACAGUUGAGUUAAAUAUUAAUAUAACAUUUGGGGAACAUCAAUCCAGCAUGGAUGGAGCACUUGUCCCAUAACAGGUGAAUUGUAACCUGUGCUCUUGCAUAGGCACAAGCAAAACAAGAACGAAGUAAAAUAAUCCUUUCCAAAUUUGGUGGAUUGCUAACGAGAAUUCGGACACUUUGUUUUGGCCGCGAAAGGUUCCUUUACCAGUUAGUAAACACUGGGAAAAGUACAGCAAACAGUACAUGUUAUGGUAGGAUGGAAAGAAGCAGCAAACAAUGAAAAGGCAACUGAUAAAGACUGGUUUUAAUGUGAAACAGUCGUAUUUUUAUACGUCCGAGGCCAAGAGGAAGCAGCCGGCUAUUCUGAUCACAAUGUACUGCUGCCCCGUAAUCACAAAUGACAGUGGAAGCGAUAAAGUGCCUGCUCCUAGAAUAAAAUAACGUUCUAGAUUCUGUAAUUCAUUUAUGUUAUUUAUGAAGAACAUGGUGUCCAGAAACUAGAGACUUCCUUCAGAUAAUAUAUUUCGGCUAAUCGGCAGUAGCAUAUUUAGCGUAUUCAAAAGGUGAUAUUCCCUCUUGGAGGGGGCAAUUAGAACUCAGAAAUGGGAAGUAACAAUGGCAUGUUUCGAUAUGCUGAUGGAGUGGACAAGCUGCUGAUGACUUUUGGGACGUUAGGUAGCAUUGGAGAUGGAUUGCAGAUUCCUCUAAUGAUGUUUGUGUUGAGCGAUGUCAUCAAUACUUACGGAAAUCCCAGUGGUGCACUCUCUUUCGAUACCCUUAAUGAGGUAACAAAAGUUAACAUGCUGUUGUCUUCAACUAUUGCUAAUCCAGUUAACAUUAUGGAGUCAGAUCAGGGGAGAAAAUGUUUUAACAAACAUAACUCUCUAUGGUGUAACAUAUUAUGUAGCCCUUAUCAUGCAUGACAAAAAAGGCCAAACAAUUGUGUUUUGAGGUUGUGGAUUUAAUAUCUUCAGUCACUUGUGCGCAAGUUUGGAGUUAGAUUAGCACGAGUUAGCGAAAAUACUAGCUCAGACACCACUUGCCAACAAAUCCAGUAGAAAAUGAAUAAAAACGUUGCAUCAACUUAUUAACAUGCUGUUUUAAUCUUCAAAAUCUUGCAGUUUGCACUCAGGCUACUCUAUGUUGCAAUUGGAGUUGGACUAUCUGCUUUUGUUGGUAUGCAGAAAUUAGUUUAAAUUAGCUAGUGCUGUAUGAUGCAUGGCAUACAUGCAUAUCCUUCUGAUGUAACUUGCCCACAUAUUUAAAAGCUCUAUUUUUUUUUUGUUUUUUUGGAUGGUGGCAGAGGGAUUGUGCUGGGCAAGAACAGCAGAAAGACAGACUUCCAGGAUGAGACUGGAGUACCUGAAAUCUGUGCUUAGGCAAGAUGUUGGUUUCUUUGACACACAAGCAGCAGAUUCUUCCACCACUUUUCAGGUUGUCACCACUAUCUCGGCAGACUCCAAUACGAUCCAAGUCACCAUAGGUGAAAAGGUAAGCAUUUCACUUUCGUCUCUCUUGUCAAUUGUCAUCCCACCAAAAUGCACUCACUAAGGACAUCAUAAUUGUUCCGCCAAAUUCUAAAACAAUUUCAUCUUCUGAAUGUAGAUACCCGAUUGCCUGGCUUACAUGGGGUCCUUCUUCUUCUGCCUCAUAUUUUCCUUCAUUUUAUCCUGGAAGAUUACACUUGCUGCUCUACCAUUAAGCCUCACCUUCAUUGUUCCUGGACUUGGAUUUGGGACAUUAAUGAUGAACGUUGGCAUGAAAAUGAUUGAGUCUUAUGGAGUUGCUGGUGGAAUCGCAGAACAAGCAAUUUCCUCAAUCAGAACUGUAUAUUCUUAUGUAGCAGAGAAUCAAACUCUUGUGAAGUUUAGCAAUGCGCUUGAAAACACUAUGCAACUAGGUAUAAAGCAAGGGUUUGCAAGAGGCUUGAUGCUGGGAAGCAUGGGAGGUAUUUAUAUUAGCUGGGCUUUCCAAGCUUGGGCUGGUUCCCUUCUAGUUAGCAAAAGGGGAGAGAAGGGUGGAGACGUUUUUGUUGCAGGAUUCAAUGUUCUCAUGGGAGGAUUGUGAGCGAUUUCAUUCUAGCAUACUUGUCAGUUGGAGUAUUAGUUUUUCUUUGUUCAAUCUCUUUAUUAAAUCUUACUAUUCAAAAUGCUUGCAGAAAUAUUUUGACUGCACUUCCAAAUCUUACUGCCAUCACGGAAGCAAAGGCUGCUGCUAUUCGGAUUACUGAGAUGAUUGAUAGGCAGCCGACCAUUGAUAAUGAAGAUAAAAAGGGGAAAGCUUUAUCAUAUGUGAGAGGAGAAAUUGAGUUCAAAGGUGUCUAUUUUAGCUACCCUUCAAGGCCGGAUACACCCGUCCUACAAGGCCUGAAUCUUGUAUUCCCAGCAGGCAAAACAGUGGGACUUGUUGGGGAAGUGGUUCUGGCAAGUCCACCAUUGUUUCCUUACUGCAAAGAUUUUAUGACCCUAUUGAAGGUGAAAUAUUUUUGGACGGAUACAAGAUAAAGAGACUUCAUCUUAAAUGGUUAAGAUCCCAAAUGGGUCUGGUUAAUCAAGAACCAGUCCUCUUUGCAACUUCCAUAAAAGAAAACAUCCUCUUUGGAAGGGAUGGAGCAUCUAUGGAAGACAUGCAAACAGCAGCCAAGGCUGCUAAUGCCCAUGACUUCAUUAUUAAAUUACCUGAUGCUUAUGACACUCAAGUAAGGCAUCUCUACCUCUGAGUCUGAGACUAUUACUUUCUGGUACCUUGUUUUUUUUUUUAAAAUGGUUUCCUAUGGUGGUUUCUGGUGGUUGGAGUGUGUAUUUUUGUGGUGUAUGUUAUGCUAAAUUUUUGUGUUUUAAUUUCUUGAAGUGCUGCCAUUAUUCAAUUAUCAAGUGUUUGGACACUGGAUUUCUCCAGGUAGGACAAUUUGGAGUUCAAUUAUCCGGAGGACAGAGGCAACGAAUAGCCAUAGCAAGGGCUUUGCUGAGGGAUCCAAAAAUUUUGCUGCUUGAUGAAGCUACAAGUGCAUUAGAUACACAGUCUGAAAAUAUUGUGCAGCAGGCCAUUGAUAAUGCAGCUAUGGGGAGGACUGCAAUCGUCAUAGCUCAUCGUCUCUCCACAAUUAGAAUGGCAGAUUGGAUUGUGGUUCUUCAAUCAGGGAAAGUAGUUGAAUCAGGCACCCACAAUGAGCUUAUGCAGAUGAAUGGCGAAAAUGGUGGGGAAUACUUUAGAAUGGUGCAGUUGCAGCAACAAACGAUGCAAAAUGAAGCUGACAAUAGCUUUAACUAUCAGAGUGACUGGAAGAGUCCGUACAAAAGGACUGUCCUCCAAGUCCAUUGAGCGUCAGAUCAAGUGCACCAGGGACCCCAGCUCUCUAUGCUCUUAGUCCAGGCUUUUCGAGGAGUGCACCGUAUUCCACUCCUUACUCAAUCCAAUUUGAUGACUAUGACACUGAAGACGAAGAGUUUGACCACUGGGCUUCUCCUGCUCCUUCACAAUGGCGUUUGCUGAAAAUGAAUGCACCAGAGUGGGGCAGAGCCUUGCUUGGAUGCAUGGGGGCUAUAGGUUCUGGAGCUGUUCAACCGGUAAAUGCCUAUUGCGUGGGAGCGUUAAUAUCAGUUUACUUUCGACCUGAUAGACCUUCCAUCACAUCCCAUGCCAGAAACUACUCUUAUGUGUUUGUCGCCUGGGAGUCUUCAACUUCUUUACCAAUGUCCUGCAACAUUAUAAUUUCGCUGUCAUGGGGAAAAGUUAACCAAAAGAGUUAGGGAGAAGCUGCUUGAGAAACUUAUGACAUUCGAGAUCGGAUGGUUUGAUCGGGAUGAAAAUACUAGUGCUGCUAUAUGUGCACGUAUAUCAACCGAAGCUAACAUGGUUCGUUCCCUUGUAGGUGACCGAAUGUCGCUACUUGCCCAAGCAUUUUUUGGAGCUACUUUUGCUUAUGCACUAGGGCUAGUGCUAACUUGGAGGUUAGCCCUGGUGAUGAUGGCUGCUCAGCCAUUAGUGAUAGGAAGCUUCUAUGCUAGAAGUGUUUUGAUGAAAAGUAUGUCUGCAAAAGCUCAAAUUGCGCAGAAGGAAGGAAGCCAACUAGCAAGUGAAGCUGUUAUUAACCAUAGAACUAUUACGGCCUUCUCUUCUCAGAAAAAAAUUCUUGGGUUGUUCCAAGCAACAUUGGAGGGCCACGGAAGGAGAGCAUCAGACAAUCCUGGUUUGCAGGUUUUGGCCUGUUUAGUUCUCAAUUUCUGGCAGCGGCUUCUACAGCUUUAGCAUUUUGGUACGGCGGAAGGCUGUUAACAAAGGGCAAAUAUCUCCAGAGCGACUCUUUCAAGCAUUUUUGGCUCUGCUGUUCACAGCUUAUACCAUUGCAGAGCAGGAAGUAUGACAAAAGAUAUAUCUAGAGGAAGCAAUGCUGUCCGCUCAGUUUUUGCAAUUCUAGACAGAAAGGCUGAGAUUGAUCCAAAUGAUUCACAGGGACAUGACGCAACCAAAACAAGUAUUAGGGGUCGAGUGGAGUUGAAGCAUGUACACUUUGCUUAUCUAUCAAGACCUGAGACGUUAAUCCUUAAGGGCUUGAGCCUCAAAAUCAGUGCAGGAACUACAGUAGCACUGUUGGGCAAAGCGGAUGCGGCAAAUCAACAAUCCUUGGACUCAUUGAGAGAUUCUACGAUCCUCUUAAAGGUUCAGUAUGCAUUGAUGAAAGGGACAUAAAAGACUUCAAUUUGAGGACCUUGAGGACACAGAUUGCACUAGUCAGCCAAGAGCCAACCCUCUUCGCUGGAACUAUCUAUGAGAACAUUGCCUAUGGGAAGAAGGAUGCCAAGGAAUCUGAGAUAAGAAAGGCUGCAAUGCUUGCUAAUGCACAUGAGUUCAUAAGGUAUGAAGUCAAUGUUCACAAAUUCAGAAACUAAUUUCUUUUAGCACCAAUCCGAUAAAUCUAUUCUAACUCCGCUAGCAACAAAAGAGUUCCGUGACCUCUAACAUAAUAAUGUUAUAUUAACUGUAACAGUGGGAUGAAGGAUGGAUACGAGACAUACUGUGGAGAAAGAGGGGUUCAGCUGUCUGGUGGUCAAAAACAGAGAAUAGCAUUAGCUCGGGCGAUAUUAAAGAAUCCCAGAAUCCUACUAUUGGAUGAAGCAACCAGUGCUCUUGACAGUGUAUCAGAGAGCUUAGUUCAAGAAGCACUGGAGAGAAUGACGGCAGAAGAACAUGCAUUGUUGUGGCUCAUCGUUUAUCCUCAAUACAGAAAGCAAAUUCGAUUGUGGUGAUCAAGGAUGGAAAGGUUGCAGAGGAAGGUUCACAUUCUGAUCUUCUUUCGUUAGGACGUAAUGGCGCCUACUAUGCCCUUGUAAAAACACGGGAAGCAACUCUCCUUACCGGUGAAAUAGAGCAAACUUUUAGUAUACGUAGAUGGUGGGUAAGGCUGUAUAAGAGCCAUCUCCAGUUAUGUUCUCACCUGAAACUUCUGCGUUGUUCAUGAUUGAGAAGAUUAUGGUAUCCCUUUAUCAGUAUAUAGAUCAGUAUUUAGUUUGUUAUGCCAAAAUUUGUGUUCGAGUUGGUUGGUGAUGGACUUGUGCUCCUUAAAGAAUGUAAUAAUACCUACCAUUAAUGGGAAGUUGAUCUUGGGGAUUAGGCAGAGUUUUACUCUUCCAGGUGUACAUUAAUACCAAAAAAAAGGAAAAAUUAUGAAAGAAAUGAUUGUGCACUGUAUUGUAGAAAAUCUGAUAAGGCGGAACCAUGGCUUACUAUUUCUUUUCUGCAAAUUCUACUACUAGUUUCAAUCGUUCUCUUGUUUUCUUAAGGAAAAAAAAAGGCCGAAAAGAUCAAUAAUCUGGAAAUUAGGCUUACAAUGGAAGACUGAGCUAUGGAGUUACAGAUAAUCCAAUCGACGAUCAUAAUGGUACAAAGUAGAUUUGAGUACAAAUUUAAGAAUUAAGUAAAACGAAAACUUAACCUACCAAUAAUAACUACCAUAUAGGAUUCCACUAAAUGACGAAACCAUACUCAGAUUAAUACUUCCUCUCAAAGGAUUAAACCAAGACCCUGUGGCCUGCACUCACUACGAAAUCUAAAUCUAGGAUCCUUCAAAAAUUAGAAACUACAACAGCAGAACCAAGAAAUACAAUGCAAUCGAAAUUACCACUAGCCCAGGACAGCGAACCGACUCCGGUGCGCCGGACUUGAGUCUGAUGCCCUUCUUGUUGAUUUUUUACCAGAAUUAUUGACAUCCACAUUAGCCCCACCUUCAAGCCAUGUCUCUUGGUAUACCAAAAAAGAAUCUUGUACCUCACCCUAGUGGUCAAUCCCACCCGGAAAGUCACCGUGGACCCAUUUGACACCGCCCUGUAAGCAGCCUCCCAUGGCACCCCAUAUGUCUGCACCAGCUCUUUCCGGCGAGCUUUCUUGUCAUGACCCUGGUAGAAACUGGGACGGUAUAGUUUGCUAUUCCAAGGCUACCAUUUUGAACAUAAAAGAAGGUGAGAUUCAGAUCAUCAUAGCCUACACCUUUGUCCUUCAUUUCAUUCUUGAGCCUCAGAUCAAAGUAAAGAGUGUGGUUGCUUCUAGUAGUGGUGGAAUUAUCUGUUGCAUUCAGGGAAGGAACAUAAAAGUCUUCUAUGGAGCAUGAGGGUUUAGACCCACGAAGACUUAGCCACAUGAAAAGGCUGUUAGGCCUGAGGUCAAUAUGAAGCUGCAGCAGCAUCGGCAACACCCUCCUGCACUGCUGCUGGGGUCUGACAUGCUUGGAAAAAAUGGUGGUUCUCCGGUGAAGUAUUAUGAGGGACUACCAGUGAACAAAGUAGUCAGGAAACAAAUGAUGCCAGUGGAAAGAAAAGAAUCAAUUCAAUUGUGAAGACUAGAAAGAAGAAACACUGCAGGCAGGAAUAAUUGUUGUGUUUCGUGCUUUAUUAAAAGGAAAAUUGAUCAGUACGUGUAGGCCGCGUUGCUUUUGGUUUGGACUUUGGAGAGACUUCCGUAACAUGAAUGGGGAUCUCUGCUGAAAUUUCCUGGUUCGCUCCAAGAAAUUGAGGUCAACUCGUGCAUUGACUUAGCACUCUGCAAACUUUUAGCAGUAGAUUCGUUAACCUUUUCUUAAUGGGAAAUUGUGGGACAAUGUGGUUUAAUGGGGAUUGGUCAUUGGAGCAACUUACGAGGAGCAUUUACUGCAGUAAAGAUUAAGAAAAUUGUGGUUUAAUGCGGAUUGGCCACUGGAGUAACUCAGGAGGAGCAUUUACUUUAGUAAAAAAAAUGUUGUAAUUGAAAAGAACAAAUUACUUUUAGGUAUGUCAGAUAUGAACUACAUUUAGCGGAUUACAUUCAUCGAUUCACGAGCCAGAGAGCUUUGCUGUGACUCUCAUAUACCGCUAAAUUGGAUCACAAUAAACACAAAGACCCUUUAAGUUGAAUUUUGAAGGCCAUCCAAAAGUAAUUUUACCCUUUUUUGGCUCCAGAGAAUACCGUUCCUUUUUUUGGCUCCUGUAAUUGUUUUGGUCAUUGGCUUGAAGAAUGUAACAAUCGAUAAAAGAAGACCCGGCCUGGUCUACAAUACCGCGUAAAUGGUGCAUUAGGCGCUUCAAGGAAGGAAAAGGUACAAUGCUUCAGUUGGGAUAUCUAUUGGGGAUCACGUCACGUUAGAAAUUGGACCUGCUAUAAAAGCUAAACAAUGAUUAGCUCAAUUACUUUGAGGCAUAUUUGUAAUUUUACUUAAAUCUCCUAAAACAUCAGCAGAUAACCGACUAGCAGCUUAAGAUGGUUAAACGUCCCAGUAUGCUGUGAACUGCCCUUGCAUGAUUACCAUGACUUCUUUGGUUCUGCCUCCCGACAGGACGAGAAGCUUGGAGUAGAAAUUUUAAAAUAGAUAUUUAACUAUGAGCUACGCCAUAGCAACUUAUUAGCAACCACAUCAUAUCAGGUCCCCUGUCUGAGCAACUAACAACCAAACUAUUCAGGCAAAAAAGUGCAAACGCAACAAGAACGUGAAUUGUAUCACUUGCAUCAGCAUUCUCAACUGGCAUACAGCCUAAAAGAUUUAAGCCAUGUCAAGUCUAUCAAAACUUCUAAGGUUGUCUUCCAAACUUAAGACUAACAAGCAAAGCCAUAUAUGCAUGUCUUGAGGAAAAAAAGAUGAUGAAUGAACUCAAAUACAACACCAUGAUGUUAAACAGCACUCUAUGUAUAUACAUUGAUCAUGCGGUCAAGCAACAUGUU